rnacentral:rRNA from 1 species
CCCUUAGAUGUUCUGGGCCGCACGCGCGCUACACUGAUGCAUUCAACGAGCACCCGCUGGGCCGAGAGGUCCGGCUAAUCUUUGAACGUGCAUCGUGCUGGGGAUAGAUGAUUGCAAUUAUUCAUCUUCAACGAGGAAUUCCUAGUAAACGCAAGUCAUCAGCUUGCAUUGAUUACGUCCCUGCCCUUUGUACACACCGCCCGUCGCACCUACCGAUUGAAUGGUCCGGUGAAAUCCUCGGAUCGAGCCGUGGGGCAACUCCGGUUCGAGAAGUUGAUUAAACCUUACCAUUUAGAGGAAGGUGAAGUCGUAACA